UUCAAUGGGCGGGCCAUGGCGAGGGAGCCGCAAGGCUCGCCGGUUUGGUUCAUCGCCCGGUCUCUCAAACUCGCCAUGUGCCCGCUCACCCUC
rnacentral:antisense_RNA from 1 species